rnacentral:lncRNA from 1 species
AAAAUACUUAUAAUGUGUAUAAUAAAUAGCAUGUGUGAUUCCCCAUACAUCACUAUGAGUAAUUUCAAAACAUUUAUAUACAUGACUAUCAACAAUAAGAAAUGUAAGAAUUUUACUCUGUCCCAAUUUAUGAAUUGCACAAUCAAAAGAAAGACCAAAAAAUUGAUUUUUACUGCUUAAUAGUCCAGAAUUCAACAAAUAAGACAUUACAGUCGAAU